rnacentral:rRNA from 1 species
GGCCCUCCGGCCGGGGUCCUCUAUACCACCCUUUGUUUAUCACACCUUUGUUGCUUUGGCAGGCCUGCCCUCGGGCUGCUGGCUCCGGCCGGCGAGCGCCUGCCAGAGGACCUAAACUCUGUUUGUCUAUAAUGUCUGAGUACUAUAUAAUAGUUAAAACUUUCAACAACGGAUCUCUUGGUUCUGGCAUCGAUGAAGAACGCAGCGAAAUGCGAUAAGUAAUGUGAAUUGCAGAAUUCAGUGAAUCAUCGAAUCUUUGAACGCACAUUGCGCUCCCUGGUAUUCCGGGGAGCAUGCCUGUUCGAGCGUCAUUACAACCCUCAAGCUCUGCUUGGUGUUGGGCCCCGCCGCCCCGGCGGGCCCUAAAGUCAGUGGCGGUGCCGUCCGGCUCCGAGCGUAGUAAUUUUUCUCGCUUUGGAGGCCCGGGCGCGUGCUCGCCAUCAACCCCCAAUUUUUUUCAGGUUGACCUCG